UCGGGAAUUUUGGGCAAUGGGCGAAAGCCUGACCCAGCAACGCCGCGUGAGGGAUGAAGUAUUUCGGUAUGUAAACCUCGAAAGAAUGGGAAGAAUAAAUGACGGUACCAUUUAUAAGCUCCGGCUAACUACGUGCCAGCAGCCGCGGUAAUACGUAGGGAGCAAGCGUUGUUCGGAUUUACUGGGCGUAGAGGGCGCGUAGGCGGCGCGGUAAGUCACUUGUGAAAUCUCUGAGCUUAACUCAGAACGGCCAAGUGAUACUGCUGUGCUAGAGUGCGGAAGAGGCAACCGGAAUUCUUGGUGUAGCGGUGAAAUGCGUAGAUAUCAAGAGGAACACCUGAGGCGAAGGCGGGUUGCUGGGCCGACACUGACGCUGAUGCGCGAAAGCCAGGGGAGCAAACG
rnacentral:rRNA from 1 species